GUUAAGCCCUGGUUGCUUUGGCAUUGACUUUCAGUCCGAUCCUGUCAAAGACAUUUCUGAAGAUCGCGAAAUAAUUACGAUUCAGGAAUUUACCAAAGAUGUUAAAUUCCACUGUCAGAUUCUAAAAGAUAAUCCUCCAUCAAGUGUCAAGGCCCCUAAUGAGACGUCCACAUCGGAUUCUACGAAAGGAAAACUUAAAGGCAAUA